rnacentral:rRNA from 1 species
AGUUUGAUCCUGGCUCAGAUUGAACGCUGGCGGGAUGCUUUACACAUGCAAGUCGAACGGCAGCACGACUUCGGUCUGGUGGCGAGUGGCGAACGGGUGAGUAAUGUAUCGGAACGUGCCUAGUAGCGGGGGAUAACUACGCGAAAGCGUAGCUAAUACCGCAUACGCCCUUCGGGGGAAAGCGGGGGGGACCUUUCGGGCCUCGCACUAUUAGAGCGGCCGAUAUCGGAUUAGCUAGUUGGUGGGUAACGGCUCACCAAGGCGACGAUCCGUGAAGCCGGUUUGAGAGGACGACCAGCCACACUGGGACUGAGAUGACGGCCCAGACCCUACGGGAGGCAGCAGUGGGGAAUUUCACAAUGGGGAAACCUGAUCCAGCCAUCCGCGUGUGCGAUGAAGGCCUUCGGGUUGUAAAGCACUUUUGGCAGGAAAGAAAUGGCACGGGAUAAUACUCCCGUGCAACUGAUUUGGUACCUGCAGAAUAAGCACCGGCUAACUACGUGCCAGCAGCCGCGGUAAUACGUAGGGUGCGCGUUAAUCGGAAUUUAUUGGGCGUAAAGCGUGCAGGCGGUUCGAAGAAAGAUGUGAAAUCCCAGAGCUUAAUUUUUGGAACUGCAUUUUUAACUACCGAGCUAGAGUGUGUCAGAAAGGGAGGCAAUUUGCGUAGCAGUGAAAUGCGUAGAUAUGCGGAGGAACACCGAUGGCGAAGGCAGCCUCCUGGGAUAACACUGACGCUCAUGCACGAAAGCGUGGGAGCAAACAGGAUUAGAUACCCUGGUAGUCCACGCCCUAAACGAUGUCAACUAGCUGUUGGGGCCUUCGGGCCUUGUAGCGCAGCUAACGCGUGAAGUUGACCGCCUGGGGAGUACGGUCGCAAGAUUAAAACUCGAAUUGACGGGGACCCGCACAAGCGGUGGAUGAUGUGGAUUAAUUCGAUGCAACGUGAAAACCUUACCUACUCCUUGAUAUGUCUGGAAUCCCGAAGAGAUUCUGGGAGUGCUCAAGAGAACCGGAACACAGGUGCCAUGGCUGUCGUCAGCUCGUGUCGUGAGAUGUUGGGUUGUCCCGCAACGAGCGCAACCCUUGUCAUUAGUUGCUACGAAAGGGCAAUUUGCACGAGACUGCCGGUGACAAACCGGAGGAAGGUGGGGAUGACGUCAAGUCCUCAUGGCCCUUAUGGGUAGGGCUUCACACGUCAUACAAUGGUCGGGACAGAGGGUCGCCAACCCGCGAGGGGGAGCCAAUCCCAGAAACCCGAUCGUAGUCCGGAUCGCAGUCUGCAACUCGACUGCGUGAAGUCGGAAUCGCUAGUAAUCGCGGAUCAGCAUGUCGCGGGUGAAUACGUUCCGGUCUUGUACACAACGCCCGUCACACCAUGGGAGUGGGUUUUACCAGAAGUAGUUAGCCUAACCGUGCGGAGGGCGAUUACCACGGUAGAUUCAUGACUGUGAAGUCGUACGGCGUAA